rnacentral:rRNA from 1 species
GGUUUAAUUCGAAGCAACGCGAAGAACCUUACCAGGUCUUGACAUCCCUCGACAACCCGAGAGAUCGGGCGGUUCCCCCGUUCGGGGGGACAGGGUGACAGGUGGUGCAUGGUUGUCGUCAGCUCGUGUCGUGAGAUGUUGGGUUAAGUCCCGCAACGAGCGCAACCCUCGACCUUAGUUGCCAGCAUUCAGUUGGGCACUCUAAGGUGACUGCCGGCUAAAAGUCGGAGGAAGGUGGGGAUGACGUCAAAUCAUCAUGCCCCUUAUGACCUGGGCUACACACGUGCUACAAUGGGCGGUACAAAGGGUCGCGAACCCGCGAGGGGGAGCCAAUCCCAAAAAGCCGCUCUCAGUUCGGAUUGCAGGCUGCAACUCGCCUGCAUGAAGCCGGAAUCGCUAGUAACCGCAGGUCAGCUAUACUGCGGUGAAUACGUUCCCGGGGCUU